UAGCAUAUCAAUAAGCGGAGGAAAAGAAACCAACAGGGAUUGCCCCAGUAACGGCGAGUGAAGCGGCAACAGCUCAAAUUUGAAAUCUGGCCUCGGCCCGAGUUGUAAUUUGCAGAGGAUGCUUCUGGCGCGGCGCCUUCCGAGUUCCCUGGAACGGGACGCCAUAGAGGGUGAGAGCCCCGUAUGGUUGGAUGCCUAGCCUGUGUGAAGCUCCUUCGACGAGUCGAGUAGUUUGGGAAUGCUGCUCAAAAUGGGAGGUAUAUCUCUUCUAAAGCUAAAUACCGGCCAGAGACCGAUAGCGCACAAGUAGAGUGAUCGAAAGAUGAAAAGCACCUUGAAAAGGGGGUUAAAAAGCACGUGAAAUUGUUGAAAGGGAAGCGCCCAUGACCAGACUUGUGCCCGGCGGAUCACCCAGCGUUCUCGCUGGGGCACUCCGCCGGGCCCAGGCCAGCAUCGGUUUCCGCCGGGGGAUAAAGGCUCAGGGAACGUAGCUCCUCCGGGAGUGUUAUAGCCCUCUGCGUAAUACCCUGGCGGGGACCGAGGUACGCGCUCCGCAAGGAUGCUGGCGUAAUGGUCAUCAGCGACCCGUCUUGAAACACGGAUCAAGGAGUCGUCCAUUAGAGCGAGCGUUUGGGUGUCAAACCCGCACGCGUAAUGAAAGUGAACGUAGGUGAGAGCUUCGGCGCAUCAUCGACCGAUCCUGAUGUCCUCGGAUGGAUUUGAGUAUGAGUUUUACUGGACGGACCCGAAAGAUGGUGAACUAUGCCUGUAUAGGGUGAAGCCAGAGGAAACUCUGGUGGAGGCUCGCAGCGGUUCUGACGUGCAAAUCGAUCGUCAAAUAUGGGCAUGGGGGCGAAAGACUAAUCGAACCAUCUAGUAGCUGGUUAGCGCCGAAGU
rnacentral:rRNA from 1 species